rnacentral:rRNA from 1 species
UACGUAGGGUGCAAGCGUUGUCCGGAAUUAUUGGGCGUAAAGCGCUCGUAGGCGGUUUGUCGCGUCUGCUGUGAAAACCCGAGGCUCAACCUCGGGCCUGCAGUGGGUACGGGCAGACUAGAGUGCGGUAGGGGAGAUUGGAAUUCCUGGUGUAGCGGUGGAAUGCGCAGAUAUCAGGAGGAACACCAAUGGCGAAGGCAGAUCUCUGGGCCGUAACUGACGCUGAGGAGCGAAAGCAUGGGGAGCGAACAGG